rnacentral:lncRNA from 1 species
GCUUGGUCUUCACCACUUGCCAUUUUUUACAACUACAAAUAUCCAUCAAUUUUCAUUGCAUUAUCCCCUAUUAUCUACAUUAAUGCACAAAGGAGGGUAAGCAGUUUCAGUGAGAUAAUGAGGAGUGACUUGUAUCCAGCAGAGAAAGAGCUGGAGCUAAUAAGCCUUCAACUGAAGUCUCUAACUUGAUAAUAUUGCAACACGCAGGAGCUUCCUUAUGUCAGUGGGAGGGAAGGGCCACGAUGUCAGCAGGAUCAGACCUAGCACACUGCAUCUCUGUAAGCGGAAUGCUCACAUGGCAGAUAGCUGGCAGAAUUGCUUGCUGCUUUUCCCCCGGAGCUCCUGGCAUGGGCAUGUAUUAGAGAUGUAGUCAGUGUCGUCAUGCUCUGGUUAUUAUCAGGAACAGCUCCUCUGGCUGCUGUAAUUUGCACGGAGGACUGCAGAUGCCAUCAACAGAUCAGAGGGAGAGGGAUUGUGAAGGUAAUCGACAGCCUUUUUCCCUGUGUGAGUUGAGACCAGAAUCAAGGCUUUUGCUUCAGAAACCAGAAACUCCACAAAACUAAUUUGUGGAGCUGCUAUUAAUAGAACACAGGAAAUUAACUUCUAGCUUUCAUUACUUUAACUUACAGAAGUGACUGACCUGGUUGUAAUACAGGUUAACUUUGCCUGUCUUCCCAAAGCUGCUGAAGACGCAGCAGUUCUGUUUGCUCUAGACACUGGUAAGUAGUUCUCACAUAAAUCUGUAAGGAGCACAGCUUUGACAAUUAAAGAUUAUUACAGCCAUAGGUUUCGGACAGAGUGGCUUUUUAUACAAUCUUUACUCGCUUCCUAUGGCCACAGUGGUUUCAUCUGAACCUCUGAGACUGUAGAUGAAACUCCAAAAUAAACACCUUCUGCUCCUGUAAAUCUUUGAAAAUGCAUGCCUGAAUACUGCAAUAGGCUUAGUAAAACCAAUGUCCUCACUACUCUGCCUCCAGAAGUUAUUACUUUAAACUCGCAACCCUUACUCUGGCUUGUCCCAUUUUAUAUAGCCAUCAGACCAUGAUUUCUGGCCUGAAGGAUAGUGUUAAGCACUUUUAUAUAGUUUAUGACUAAGAGUAGGCACAGUAGAGAAGAAUAACCUUUAAAUACAUGUAUUCACAAUGAAAGAUGCAUUGAUGAAUGGUUAAGAUUGGGCACACAGUUAAUGACAAAUGUCAGAAUGUUUCAAAGGUUUGCUUGAUUAUUAAUCAGGAAAUAACGCAAAGCAGAUGAAAUCACAGACCAGAGGUUUGCUUCACUGUUAAAAACAAAACCAAAAACAAAACCAAAAA